rnacentral:rRNA from 1 species
UACGUAGGGAGCAAGCGUUGUCCGGAAUCAUUGGGCGUAAAGCGCGCGUAGGCGGCCCCGUAAGUCCGCUGUGAAAGUCAAAGGCUCAACCUUUGAAAGCCGGUGGAAACUGUGGGGCUAGAGUCCGGAAGAGGCGAGUGGAAUUCCUGGUGUAGCAGUGAAAUGCGUAGAUAUCAGAUAGAACACCAAUGGCGAAGGCAGUUACCUGGCUCAAAACUGACACUAAAGCACGAAAGUGUGGGGAGCAAACAGG